rnacentral:rRNA from 1 species
GUGCAGCCGCCGCGGUAAUACGGAGGGGGCUAACGUUGUUCGGAAUUACUGGGCGUAAAGCGCGCGUGGGCGGAUUAGACAGUUGAGGGUGAAAUCCCGGAGCUUAACUCCGGAACUGCCUUCAAUACUACUAAUCUUGAGUUCGGAAGAGGUGAGUGGAAUUCCUAGUGUAGAGGUGAAAUUCGUAGAUAUUAGGAAGAACAUCAGUGGCGAAGGCGGCUCACUGGCUCGAUACUGACGCUGAGGUGCGAAAGCGUGGGGAGCAAACAGGAUUAGAUA